rnacentral:rRNA from 1 species
CGAACGGGAUGCUUAGGCAUCUAUUGGCGGACGGGUGAGUAACGCGUGAGAAUCUGGCUCCAGGUCGGGGAUAACAGUUGGAAACGACUGCUAAUACCGGAUGUGCCGAGAGGUGAAAGAUUUAUUGCCUGUAAGAUGAGCUCGCGUCUGAUUAGCUAGUUGGUGGUGUAAGGGACCACCAAGGCAUCGAUCAGUAGCUGGUCUGAGAGGAUGAUCAGCCACACUGGGACUGAGACACGGCCCAAACUCCUACGGGAGGCAGCAGUGGGGAAUUUUCCGCAAUGGGCGAAAGCCUGACGGAGCAAUACCGCGUGAGGGAGGAAGGCUCUUGGGUCGUAAACCUCUUUUCUCAAGGAAGAAGAAAGUGACGGUACUUGAGGAAUAAGCAUCGGCUAACUCCGUGCCAGCAGCCGCGGUAAUACGGAGGAUGCAAGCGUUAUCCGGAAUGAUUGGGCGUAAAGGGUCUGCAGGUGGAACUGAAAGUCUGCUGUUAAAGAGUUUGGCUUAACCAAAUAAAAGCGGUGGAAACUACAGAACUAGAGUGCGGUAGGGGCAAAAGGAAUUCCUGGUGUAGCGGUGAAAUGCGUAGAUAUCAGGAAGAACACCGGUGGCGAAAGCGUUUUGCUAGACCGUAACUGACACUGAGGGACGAAAGCUAGGGGAGCGAAUGGGAUUAGAUACCCCAGUAGUCCUAGCCGUAAACGAUGGAUACUAGGCGUGGCUUGUAUCGACCCGAGCCGUGCCGGAGCUAACGCGUUAAGUAUCCCGCCUGGGGAGUACGCACGCAAGUGUGAAACUCAAAGGAAUUGACGGGGGCCCGCACAAGCGGUGGAGUAUGUUGGUUUAAUUCGAUGCAACGCGAAAACCUUACCAAGACUUGACAUCCUGCGAAUCCUGGUGAAAGCUGGGAGUGCCUUCGGGAGCGCAGAGACAGGUGGUGCAUGGCUGUCGUCAGCUCGUGUCGUGAGAUGUUGGGUUAAGUCCCGCAACGAGCGCAACCCUCGUUUUUAGUUGCCAGCAUUAAGUUGGGCACUCUAGAGAGACUGCCGGUGACAAACCGGAGGAAGGUGAGGAUGACGUCAAGUCAGCAUGCCCCUUACGUCUUGGGCUACACACGUACUACAAUGCUACGGACAGAGGGCAGCGAGCCAGGGAUGGCAAGCGAAUCCAGAAACCGUAGCUCAGUUCAGAUCGAAGGCUGCAACUCGCCUUCGUGAAGGAGGAAUCGCUAGUAAUUGCAGGUCAGCAUACUGCAGUGAAUUCGUUCCCGGGCCUUGUACACACCGCCCGUCACACCAUGGAAGUUGGUCACGCCCGAAGUCAUUACCCCAACCGAAAGGAGGGGGAUGCCUAAGGUAGGACUGGUGACUGGGGUGAAGUCGUAACAAGGUAGCCGUACCGGAAGGUGUGGCUGGAUCACCUCCUUU